AUAUCAAUAAGCGGAGGAAAAGAAACCAACAGGGAUUGCCCUAGUAACGGCGAGUGAAGCGGCAACAGCUCAAAUUUGAAAUCUGGCUCUUUUAGGGUCCGAGUUGUAAUUUGCAGAGGGCGCUUUGGCGUUGGCAGCGGUCCAAGUUCUUUGGAACAGGACGUCACAGAGGGUGAGAAUCCCGUACGUGGUCGCUAUCCUUCGCCGUGUAAAGCCCCUUCGACGAGUCGAGUUGUUUGGGAAUGCAGCUCUAAAUGGGAGGUAAAUUUCUUCUAAAGCUAAAUACUGGCCAGAGACCGAUAGCGCACAAGUAGAGUGAUCGAAAGAUGAAAAGCACUUUGGAAAGAGAGUCAAAUAGCACGUGAAAUUGUUGAAAGGGAAGCGCUUGCAGCCAGACUUGCCUGUAGUUGCUUAUCCAAACUUUUGUUUGGUGCACUCUUCUGCGGGCAGGCCAGCAUCAGUUUGGGCAGUUGGAUAAAGGUCUCUGUCAUGUACCUCUCUUCGGGGAGGCCUUAUAGGGGAGACGACAUGCAACUAGCCUGGACUGAGGUCCGCGCAUCUGCUAGGAUGCUGGCGUAAUGGCUGUAAGCGG
rnacentral:rRNA from 1 species